UCCGUGUUGUGGCUAGGGUUUGUGAUAAUGUUGGCUGAUGUCUUGUCCUCAGUUCUAAAUGGGUAUUGCGUAGAAUCUGUUGAUACAUGGUAUGCAUCAGUAGUGCCUGACCAAUGGGUUGACUAGGAUUGGAAACCUUAUCUAGCGAGUGUUGUUGUUGGUUCUCUUUUUAUUAGAGUUGUGGGGUGUGGCACUCAUUGUGACAAUUUCAGUUGCAGAAUUCUCUUUCAGUUAGUGGUACAGUGAUUUCUCGUUGAUGUGGUCUGGUUUAGAAUGCAUUUGUUGUGGAAAUCAAUCAACGAGGCUUGUUUGUGUGGAGGUGUUUGGGAGGCUUCUAUCUAGGUGUAAAAGUGGACGUCAAAGAGUGCGUUCAAACCGUAUCCGAAAGUUGAUUGGAUCGUGAAGCGGUCUUACUUGUCGGGUUGUGAAGUCGUGGUUCCUGGUUACUAGUGGGGAUGGUAUCGUUCGGCAGGCUAUAGGCGGCAGCGAUAGAUCCGAUUUGAGAAGACUGAGGGUCUUCGGGUUUUGAAGCGGAUGGAAUCAUUGGUUGGCCGAGAGCAGCUUCGAUUUAUCCAGAUCACUGUGGUUCCUAUAUUGGGAGGGUCUUGGGCAUUGAAGUGUUAUAGGUUUGUCUACAGAUGUUUUCGUUGUGGUGUUCUAGUUUCCCUAAAGUGCCCUGGUGUGGGCUGAUAGGUUCUUUCUUAAUCGUAAUUGUUUUGUGUCUGUAAGCUGCCCUGGUGUGGGCUCAAGCUGCUCCGUUGUGGGCUAAAGUUGCCUUUUCUAUAGGCUUUUGUAACAAACUCUUGAAUGAAUGAAUAUUUUCAGACGG
rnacentral:lncRNA from 1 species